AACGAACGCUGGCGGCAUGCCUAACACAUGCAAGUCGAACGAGACCCCUGACUUCGGUUGGCGGGUCUAGUGGCGCACGGGUGCGUAACGCGUGGGAAUCUGCCCUUGGGUUCGGAAUAACUCAGAGAAAUUUGAGCUAAUACCGGAUGAUGACGAAAGUCCAAAGAUUUAUCGCCCAGGGAUGAGCCCGCGUAAGAUUAGCUUGUUGGUGGGGUAAUGGCCUACCAAGGCGACGAUCUUUAGCUGGUCUGAGAGGAUGAUCAGCCACACUGGGACUGAGACACGGCCCAGACUCCUACGGGAGGCAGCAGUGGGGGAAUAUUGGACAAUGGGCGCAAGCCUGAUCCAGCAAUGCCGCGUGAGUGAUGAAGGCCUUAGGGUUGUAAAGCUCUUUUACCAGGGAUGAUAAUGACAGUACCUGGAGAAUAAGCUCCGGCUAACUCCGUG
rnacentral:rRNA from 1 species